rnacentral:rRNA from 1 species
CAGUAGCCGCGGUAAUACGAAGGGGGCUAGCGUUGCUCGGAAUCACUGGGCGUAAAGGGUGCGUAGGCGGGUCUUUAAGUCAGGGGUGAAAUCCUGGAGCUCAACUCCAGAACUGCCUUUGAUACUGAGGAUCUUGAGUUCGGGAGAGGUGAGUGGAACUGCGAGUGUAGAGGUGAAAUUCGUAGAUAUUCGCAAGAACACCAGUGGCGAAGGCGGCUCACUGGCCCGAUACUGACGCUGAGGCACGAAAGCGUGGGGAGCAAACAGGAUUAGAUACCCGGGUAGUCCCUGUCUCUUAUAC